GCAUGCAUAUGUUUAAAAACAGGAAGGUAGACAUCAUUGUAUUGAUGCUUUUGGAAUUGUUAAAUAACAACACUAUUAUUACUAGGAAUAGUAGCUAACCCAAGCACUGACCCAAAUUAUUUACAUAAUAACUAUUGAAAUAUCCUCCUAAAUAUAAUCCUUGUUACCAGCCUUCUUGUAUAUUCAUAUCUAUUCUGACUUUAUUUUUCAAACUGUCAAGAUAGAAAUCUUUCUAAUAAUGCAUAUUUGAUUCUUACUUGUAGGUUAAAACCUAAUUUUAAAAAAUUUCUGCUGGAACUUAGAAACUUUCAUGGGAAAACAAGAUGGGAUAAUUUUGUGGCAUGGCUUACAAAAAUCGUUAUAAUCUGGCUGUCCUGACUUCUCAGACAUAAUCCCUGGGAAUCAUCACUAAUCUCAUCAGUCAAAGCCAAAUCAUACUUUGGUGUUUUUCCCUCAAAGCCAUUCAGCUGUUUUUCUCUUUUGAUUGUCCCUGUAUCUUUACUAUCUUCUCAAACUGCCUAAAAUAUUCCUGUGCAUCCAUCAAGACUCAUCUCACCAUUCGGUUCUGGAAAGUUUUCCUUAAUUUGACUAAGCAGCAUUAAUCUUUCUCCUUUUAUAUCAGUAGGUUUUUCAUGCCUUCAUCAACUGGAGCAUUUUUCUAUUAUUUUUCCUUAAUGUGCAUGACUUUUUUCACCUUACCCAGACUUUAUGAUGCUGCCAUAUCUAUUCACUUCUAGCACAGUGCUCCUGAUACAGCGGAAAUGUUUAGUCAAUGUGUAAAUGAGCAAAUGAAUGAAAUUGGUUAAGUGGCUUUAGACUUUAAAAUUCAAUAUUGUUUUUAAAUCUACAAUUGCACUAAUACUAUAAAAAUAUGCUUAUUCUAGGUAAAAAAAUAAUAAUAUUUCUACCCUAUUUCUGUCCCUAGAGACACUAUUAUACAUAAAUAAGUAUAUAAACCCACAGAUUUAGAUUUUCAUUUUUAAAUAGUUAUACAAAUAAUAUCAUACUCUGGAAAAUGUCUCUUGCUCUUUUUUGCUCAAAACUUUAUCUUAAUUCUCUUCUUAUAAGAUUAUAAAUAAUCUCAUUCUUUUAAACCAGAAAUAUAAUCAAUAGUCUGUAAUUAGUUUAAUUUAUUAAACCUAUCCUCCAUUAAUAGUACUUAAGUCAUUUCUAUUGUUUUCACUAUAGUAAAACAAAGUAAUGUUACUCUGAAUAUCUUUAUGUACAUGCACACACAUGUGUAAUUGUGACUGUGUGAACACAAAGUUUAGAUCACUUGAACUGAAAUUAAACACCUAAGAGUGUACAUUUACGAUUUGGAUACACAAUGCUAUAUAAUUCUUCAAAAUUGUAAUCAAUAUUACCUGCUCAUUACAGUAAAAUAAUUUAAGAAAUAAAUCAAUAGAAAAGACUCAGAUUCAAUAAAAUUCUUCCUAGUCAUUUAUUUUCCCCAGAAAAUUGGCAAAGGGUUAUCAUAAUUACAUUUCAAGAAGUGAGUAGGAUUUUCUAUCUCCAAAAUAAUCUAAAUCUACAAUACAUAAUGUGAUAUUCAAAUAAGCAUAGUUUUAUUAUUACUGACUCGUAGUAUACUAACAACUAAAAGAUACACUAUAUUCAUACAUAAUGAAAUUGGCUAUUGAAUGUAUUGGUAGUAUAAUAUCAGGUGUUUGGAUUUAAAAGUAUUUUAAACCAGUAGCUUUAUAACAGAUUUAGGCUGCAUGAUUAACCAUUGUGGUCAAAUUGGAGAAUUAAUAGGUUUUUGGAUUUGCCUUUAUAUUAAGGGGCUCAAUAUUGAAGCACAGAAAAUUGUUAAAUUUGGAAGGAUCAUUCAUAUUCACUAUUUCAGCAAAUUUGGUUUGAGCAGUAUAGAAAGAAUCACUUGAGUCAAGUAAAAUGUACUGUUUUAUGAUUAGAGAAGAGAGUCAAUAUAAGGCUUUUGGUGCAUACUAUAUCAAUUGUAAGAUAUCUCAUAGGCUAGGAAUUAUUCUUCACAUUUUAGGCAAUAUUGAUAAAUUACAUAACUGAAAAGAAUUUACUCACCUUGUGUGGGCAUAAAUCCCAAAUCUAAUUGACUUUAAAUUAUGUUAGUCAAAUCUAUUGUUUAUUUGGCUUCAGAAAAAACAAUUCCACUGAAAAACAGCUGAAGGAUAUUUGGGAGUUAUAUCUUUAGUUACAAUAUUCAAUUACAAAAUUGGCAGUCAGAAAACAAACCAGCGAUUGCAAAUACAAAAACAUUAUUUCUUACCUUGUUUAAAUAUAGAAUUUAUAUUCAUUUGGCAAAAGUGUUAUCAUGCAAAAUAUCAAUAAAAUAAGCAUAUUGAAAACAGACUGAAAAUUCACAUUCCAAUUCAAGAUUCUCAGUGUUCUGAUUCAUUUAGAUAAUAACCAACCAGCUGCCUAGAGAUUGUCUGGAGGAUGUCCGUUAAUAGUGACAUAUCUACAAGUACACGGAGAUAUCUAAUUUUAAAGUUUGCUAUAACCUAUUGCCUUUGACAUUUAAAAAUAUAUUAAAAUGUCUUAUUUUGCAAAAGCUAUCUCAUUGGUAGUGAGUUGCCAAUUCUUUUUCUCUUUUUUUCUGGCAACCAUGAAACCCAGAUGCUAAGCACUGGAAGAUAUUUCUUCCAAUAGCAGCAUCUGGCGUGCUGGCAGACUCCAUAAGCAAUUUUGUUUUACGGCUUUAAAGCAGCUUCUGGGUCUAUUACAUGGUUAAUCUGAUGGGCUGUCUGGGCUGUCUUGUCCUCCUGGAUGCCAUAUGCCAACAGCUAGAGAUGCAGUGAACUGUCUGCCCAUUAGGGCUGCUAUAAAGAGAACACCUGAAAAAAAUCAGCUGCAAAGAGUGUGCUCCACUUCUGUUCAGCUAUUACAGUACGAGCGAUGAGUGACCUGGCUAAAAUAGUGCUAAAAACUUGCCAAAAAUGUUCAAUGCCCUCUGAACACCAGGGAAGAUGAAAAAAAAGCUGGAAAUAAUGAAAUAUUCAGGAUAUCAUUGUAUCAUUUGAUACUGAAACAAGCAUUUGCUUUUAUUCCCCACGCAAGAGAAGGAACAGGAAAUGAGAAGUAGAACUGUGAGGAUGACAGACACAAAUUUGAUUGCUGCUCUUCUGUGGCAAAUGGCUCAUGAGAGGCUGAUUUCCCUGAUAGAGAUUGUGUCUAAUUCAUUUUUAUACUUUCAGGGCCUACCAAAGUAUUUGAAUGUGGCAGAACCAGACCAAAAUAUUGAAAGCAGAUGAGGAGAAGGAGGAAAAUAAGAGAAGUGAGAUGUUAGAGAAGUUAUUAUCCUCAGCUAUCUGACUUUCUUCAGGCUCAGGGCAAACUUAGGGGCUGCCCUUCAGAGUCAUCUCAGUAGCAUCCUUGAAAGAAUCAGGGAAGAAAGUGCAGAAAUCAGAUGACAGAAGGAAGCUGUGGCUACCGCAAGUUGAAAAGCAUGUGGUUCCACUUUGGGGGCUUUGAAUUCCAAGGCUCCCAAACACCACAGACCAGCAAGAUCUCACGAAUGGGAUCCCACCCUUAAGUCAGUUUUCAACUGGAGGGCUGCUUGUGGAGAAGACAAUUUCAUUUAUCCUAAGAAUGACACAUAUGAGUAAAGGUAAUAUAUCAACCACACUCAGGAGCUUUCUGCAAACCUGUAACAUGGAUAGAUGUCUAAGAUGCUCAGACCACUCAGGACAGACCCAUUGCCUUACAGUCAAGGUAGGACAAUGUACCUACACAAAAUGACCAUCCUGGUAGCCUGACUAUCUGUACUAGUGCAAAGACAGCACACUCAAGACUUGCAGAGAUGACACACACUGGGGAGCAGAGUGGCUGGGACACAGGCACUGACUUCAUUUAUUUAUUCAUCAGAGAAUCUUUUUUAUGCACAGCGUCCAACCUGAAAGAUAGAGUCGCACAGAUAUACCAACCACACAGCUGACUGAAGCUAAAGGGUCAGAACUUAAAAUUUCCCCUUUUCUCACAAGUUUGAUGGUUUGGAAGGCAUCACGCAUCCAGUAAAUUAUACACAUCUUAACGAUACAGCUACGAAAGAUGGAUACUCCAGUGUUGUCCACAUUGGUAUGAAGACACAGCUGAUUUUUAUCACCCCAGAAAGUUUGCCUGCCCCACCCCAAUGUUGCACAAGGAGCAGCCAUGUUUCGAUUUCGUAUUUUAGCAUAGAUUUGGUUGCCCAUUCUAGAACCUCACUGAAAUUAAAUGAUACAGUACAUAAAAAGUAAUGAAAUGAUUACAUAUUAACAUAAAUAAGU